rnacentral:rRNA from 1 species
GAACUGAAGAGUUUGAUCCUGGCUCAGAUUGAACGCUGGCGGAAUGCUUUACACAUGCAAGUCGAGCGGCAGCGCGGGGGCAACCCUGGCGGCGAGCGGCGAACGGGUGAGUAACAUAUCGGAACGUACCCAGUAAUGGGGGAUAACUACCCGAAAGGGUAGCUAAUACCGCAUACGCCCUGAGGGGGAAAGCGGGGGAUCGCAAGACCUCGCGUUAUUGGAGCGGCCGAUAUCGGAUUAGCUAGUUGGUGGGGUAAAGGCCCACCAAGGCGACGAUCCGUAGC